UGACAUGUGGCCGAAGUGGUUAGAGCGUCCGUCUCAAAUGCGGGGGGUCGCGGGUUCGAAAUCCGACUGAGUCAU